UUCGAGCGUCAUUACAACCCUCAAGCUCUGCUUGGUAUUGGAUGCAAUCGCUAUGAUUCAUCCUAAAAUCAGUGGCGGUACCAUUUGGCUUCCAGCGUAGUAAUUUUCUCGCUGUGGAGAACUAGGUGUGUGCUUGCCAGCAACCCCCUAAUUUUUAAAAGGUUGACCUCGGAUCAGGUAGGGAUACCCGCUGAACUUAA
rnacentral:misc_RNA from 1 species